UAAGUACUCUCUCCGUUCCAAAAUAAGUGUCAUGGUUUUAGUUCAAAUUUGGAGUGUUUUGAACUAAAACCAUGACACUCCAAAUUUGAACUAAAACCAUGACACUUAUUUUGGGACAGAGGGAGUAUUAA
rfam:Triticum aestivum genome assembly, contig: Triticum_aestivum_CS42_TGACv1_scaffold_061130_1DL